rnacentral:lncRNA from 1 species
UAGGAUGUGGAGGGGUUAGAGGCUUUUCAUGGAAAUUUUUGGAGGCUUGAUAUUCAGGUGGUAGGCAGCGACAGUUAACAAUGGAAACGAUACAUCUAAGCAUAACAAAAUUAGAAAUGAUAUCAAGGUCAUGGUCAUCUUGUCUGACAAUUCUUUUGAGGGAUAAAACUCUUGCCCUCCGGAACAUUCUCAACGGAAUCCUCCUACUCGUUCUCGGCACCUGAUGCUACCCAAAAUAAAAA